UACGAAGGGGGCUAGCGUUGCUCGGAAUCACUGGGCGUAAGCGCACGUAGGCGGCUUGUUAAGUCAGGGGUGAAAUCCUGGAGCUCAACUCCAGAACUGCCUUUGAUACUGGCGAGCUUGAGUUCGGGAGAGGUGAGUGGAACUGCGAGUGUAGAGGUGAAAUUCGUAGAUAUUCGCAAGAACACCAGUGGCGAAGGCGGCUCACUGGCCCGAUACUGACGCUGAGGUGCGAAAGCGUGGGGAGCAAACAGG
rnacentral:rRNA from 1 species